CGGUAGGUAUUCAUCGUAUGGGAUUAGAGCAAAUAGAUCUGCUCUACCCAUUUCAAUGAAGGAAAUGUUGAGGAGACUGUUGUUUGGCCCCUAUUUUAUGUCCGGAUGAUCCAAACAAGUUUGGAAUCAUGCAGAGAGUGUUUGGAACCGACCAUAUAGUUAAUCUGAUUCAAGUUACUUGUAGCUAUACUCCAUUUCAUAACCCUAAUUUAAUGUUCAACUUGUUAUAUAUAUCCAUCAGUAGCCACAUCGCAACCAAGGGAAGAUAUAUAAGGUGGUGGAAUCAUUGCUAUUAUGGGGUCGACAUGGGAAGUAUAGAUCUAUCAUACUAAGUUGAUUUAACAAAGGCUGGUUCCAAACACUCUAUGCACGAUUGCGAAUUUGUGUCGAGGAAAAUUGAGAUGCACAACACUUCUGUUUAUUUUUGCAUUGGAGUAGGCCGGGAGGUUAUUAUUUUUGUCUUUUACAACAAAAAAGACACGAAAUGCGGGAAACACUGGAAAGAAGCUUGCAUUCAGUCCUCAGAUGUGCGAAAUCCCAGCGGAUGGGACGAGAAAGGUAAAUAAAGACCAGAAGGUAAAGAAAUACAAAUAGAUGAAGGCUUUUGAAUUCGAUUGUUGCAAUAGCCCAAUUAUUCAUGCUACAUCUUUGAUUGACUUCUGGAGACAUUUGGGUCGGCCUUCUACCAAGGCACCUCCUCUUCAAAUUGCUUGGCAAAUUGGUCCUACCUUCCUUCUCUUACAGGUUUGGCUGGAAAUAAAUCGUUGGAUUUUUCAGGGUCAUCAGCAUCUUAUUGUACAGGAGAACCUCAUGGGCAAGUGUUCUUCUGAUAUUAAUCUUGCCCCUGUUGAUAUUACGGUGAUUCAAUGUUUGCAGCUAGGGUAUAUUCUUGAGAAUUUUGUCUCCCUUUCUCGGACUUCUCUCCAUCAUUCCGCUCGUCGGAUUAAUAGGGAUGGUCACUGGACUCUACCUCUUUGCAAUGUUCUUAAGAUAAACAUUGAUGGUUCUUCUUGUGGGAAUCUUGGACCUGCGGGAAUUGGUGGUGUUGGAAGGGACAAUAAUGGUGCUAUGCAAUUCUUUUUUUCAAUGGAAACAGGUUUUGAGACGAACAAUCCGAUGGCAGCUCGUGCUCUCUUAUUUGCCUUACAACAAGCUUUGGAGCUACAAUGGAAUCAUGUUAUCUGUGAGUUGGAUUCGAUGAUUUUGGUCUCUCUGCUUGUGAAUCCGUCUUCUAAGAGCACUUCUUGGCAACUUUCAUCUCUAGUUGCCCAAAUUCGGCAGAUAUCUUCUUGCUUCAGUUCUAUCUCUUUUACUCAUAUUCCCUGUGAGUGGAAUAGGGUUUUACUCAUAUUCCCUGUGAGUGGAAUAGGGUUGCUGAUUUGCUUGCUAAAUGAGCAUCAAAUGCUCCUUGUGGUUGGCAUGUUAUUGAUUUGGAUUCUUUAUCAGUUGAUAAAGCUGCUCAGCUAUUUAGACUUCGUCGGUAUGAUGUAGAGUGAAGGUGUUCUUUCUAUGAUUCCUCUUGAUUUCUUGUGGAUCUCUUUGUUAUGCAGGGAAACCGGAUGAGAUUUCGCUGAAUGCACGAUAAAAGGGUCUUUUUGACAUCGUACAAGGAGCUGCAGAGUAGAGUCUCCGCCUCAAUACUGAGACAAUGCAGAGCUAGUCUGUCAAGAAGUUUUCUGUAAGUCAAAGUUUCAAACAACGGCAUUCAAUGUUUGGGUAUGUAAAUUAUACGAUCAUCUAAUUUUCCUAAAAUGGGCCAUCGUGGGCAUAACUAUAUUUUAUGUAUUGAUAAAUAAAAUACUAUAGAGUUCUUA